GCUCCAAGCGGAGAGAUUUGUAACUGCAAUUACAAGGCCUCAGCCGGUCAUUUUUGCGACUGUUCUACUUCGACAGACAUUCCUCCUUAUCUCUAGUCUCCCUGAGCACUGGGUUAGCACUUUUGACAGUGACACGAGUAUGACAACUAUGACAUUGACAUCAAUAUAAAAUUAAAUAACAUCAACAAAGUACCAAAGUAGUGAUAGAAAAGCACAAAUUCGACUGGAAGUCACUAUCACCAUUAAUUAAAUGUUGCUGAAGCAUAGUCAUAAGUAAAUAACGAAAAUACGUGUAUUCGAACUGAUAAAAACUUUAUCAAAUAGAACAUUGGAUUGUUUAUAUUUUGUUGUACCCGAAAACAUGUCGCGCGUAUUAGCUUGGACUGUGGGAGUUUUCCUUAUUGCAGUUAUUGUCACUACAACUGCAGAUAAAAAACAAGAUGAAAAACCUGCUUUUAAGUUAACUACUGUUCCUUGGGCUGCUGCUUUGGUAUGUGCUGCUGUAUUGGGAGUCAUCAUCUUUUGUUUCUGUACUAAGAUUAUUAGUUUAGUUUUAAUUGCACUUAUUAUAGCAAUUUGUGGUGGCUUAACAUACCUUUAUCUCAAGUGAUGGUGGUAAAUUUUGUUACAAUUGGAAUAUGUACAAAAAAUUGUACACAAGAACUGAGGAGGAUAUGUGGAUUUGUAUCUAAAUAAAAACCUCUAAUAAAAACAAUGUAUGAAUCCACAUUUCAACUUGUUAGCAUAGAUUCAUUGGUUGUGUUAGAUAUACUUAUUAAAAAAAAGUAUAUUAUUGUAGUGACUCUACUCAAUCACAAAACAUGUAUGCUAUACAGAGAGCUUCUCUUCUCUAUAUCUUUACACAUCUAAUAUAAUCAAUUAAUCUUUGUUGAAAAUUAAACAUUUUCUAAAUAUCAUUGAUCAAGUAAUGGGGUUAAACAUAUGUUGAUGAGCAGAGUUUUUCCACUAAGCUGUUCAUGCCCUGCCACAUUGAACUUGCACUAUAAAACCAUAAUGAUACCCCAGGUUAGAGUACAACUGGCCAUAAUUAGCUCUGGUUGCUCAAAGACCUAACAAUGUUCCAAUAUAACCUUUUAUUAAAAUGUCUGGUUGCUCCAAGGAAAACUUUAUAGACCAAAUAAGAUAGUUUAGCUGACAUUGUUAUUUAUAAGUCAUUUGGAUUGGUGCCUAUAUCUUGACCACAUGUAUGUGCUGCACUGAAACAUGAAUUAUAAUGUAGGGAAUCUUUUGUAUGCCUUGUGCUGUGUCCGUCCUAGUUGCUUGGACAUUGAAUAUCAUAAUUUCUAAGUCUGCCUGUUUCAACAGAGUUACUUUACAGAGCAUAAUAAGAUAUAAUAACUAACUCUCUUGGUUAACGUUAAAUUGCAUAAUUAUUUACCAAAUUAUGAAUGUUGUAAUUGAUUUACGGGUAUUGUCAUUUUCAUCAGGAAACAACUGAUAGUUCUGAUAAUUUUCAUGCCUAUGUAGUAAUUAAGGAAAAUGCGGAGAUUUGUAUAAUCUGUUGUGACUAUUUAUUUACCCAUAAUCACUAUUUAACUAAAGUAAAAACUAAAACAUAACAAAAUUAUAAUCAUGUUAAACAUAAAACUAUCCACAUAAACUUAAAGUUGUUGCUUUCUUGUAUAUGUAACAUGAGGAAACCUAAUCAUUUUAACAGAAUAUUCCUGAUCAAAUUUUAAGACAAAAUGUCAUAUUUUUUUUUCUGGAUUCUGCCUACUUUUAGAGUUAUGUUAUAACCAACUAAACAAGUAUUUUCUUGUGAUUACUCAGUACAAAAAGCUUCAACAGCAUUGUCAGCAUUGAUGCCAUUAUGGAGGAUGGUCUCACUACCCUCAUUGAUAGAUGUCAAAAAGUGAGAAGUAAAACCAUUUAAACCUAAGGUUUUUUAAAAACAAAUAUUUUAACUUUUUUUAGUUUUAUGAAUAACAUUUACUUUUUAUGUGAAAAAUACAUCCAAAAAAGUUAACAUUUGCAUAAUUUGCUUCAACCUGUAUUUAUUUUUGUAAUUUUUGACAUCAGAAAUGCAUGGUUCAUAUCAUUUGAUUCCUCAUGUUAUACUAUGUAGAUAGAUACAUACAUACAUAUUGUGUAAACUUUUGAAAAUCAUACAUACCUACAUAUCUUAAACUAAAUACAUAAUGCAAUCAGGAUACGUGCCUUUGAAGUACACACUUUUAAGAAAUAAAUAACUAAAAGAAAUGAAUUUCGGAAUAAGUAAUUUUAAAUUUGGAUUACAUUUUAUUUUUCGCAAUUUUGGCAUUUUAUGGUAAUUUGUCACAUUGUUAUAAUAAAUUUUGGUCAGUCUAUUUAAAACCAUUUAACGUGACGACAUUUUAAAGUACAUCAUAUCUUAUACCCACAUUAAAUACCUAUGUAUUAUGUAUAUUGUAACAAAAAAACAAAUAAAACGUGUUGCGAUAUAUAUAUAAUUAUAUAUAUAUAUAUAUAUAUAUAUAUAUAUAUAUAUAUAUAUAUAUAUAUAUGUAUGUAUUAUUAAUCUAUUUACACGUGUGAUAAACUCAACUGAUCUGUUAUUACGUUUUUAUGUCGUUUUUGAAAGCUAUUAUUUAUAUAUUGUUAGGAAAAUGUUAAAUACACAUAAUUAAUAUGUAUUUACUAAUGACUGAAUUUUAAUUAGGUAGAUAUUGAAUAUUGGCAUAUUUUUUUACAAAGUAUCUGCUUGCUCUUGCUUGUUGCUGCUUUUUUGCAAAGUAAGUGCUGCUCUUUUUUUUAAAGAAAUUUGUGAAUUUUGAGAUUAAACUGUUAAGUACAUUUUGUUUUUAUCAGAUCAUUUACAUUAUUUAUGGAACAAUAACUGUUGAGUUUAAACGAUUAUAAUUACCUAUGUAAAUUAAUUUAGCCAAUUAAGUGGAUAUUUAUUGCAUAAUACUAAUACAUAAUGUAGAUAGGAGUUUUUUCAAUUCAAUGGUGAAGAGGUAAAUACAAUUUAAGUAUAGAUAUAGAUAGACCUACAUAGUUGAAUAAGUUGAUGAUUACUAAUUAGUAACCAUUUUUGAUAAUUAUACACAUUUUAUUAUUUAUAAAUAUCAGGGUUUUACACCCUGCAUAUGUUAAUUUUAGUGUAGAUAAUUGAAACGCACACUUUUACUAAAGUAAUAAUAAAGGGUUUGGUGAUUUCUUCCA